rnacentral:rRNA from 1 species
ACAAGCAGUGGAGUAUGUGGUUUAAUUCGACGCAACGCGAAGAACCUUACCAAGUCUUGACAUCCCUUGACGAUGCUGGAAACAGUAUUUCUCUUCGGAGCAAGGAGACAGGUGGUGCAUGGUUGUCGUCAGCUCGUGUCGUGAGAUGUUGGGUUAAGUCCCGCAACGAGCGCAACCCUUAUGGUCAGUUACUACGCAAGAGGACUCUGGCCAGACUGCCG